GAAAUGCGAUAAGUAGUGUGGAUUGCAGAAUUCAGUGAAUCAUCGAAUCUUUGAACGCACAUUGCGCCCCUUGGUAUUCCAUGGGGCAUGCCUGUUCGAGCGUCAUUUGUACCCUCAAGCUUUGCUUGGUGUUGGGCGUCUUGUCUUCUUCUGGUGUACUCGCCUCAAAACAAUUGGCAGCUGGUAUAUUGGUAUCGGAGCGCAUCACAAGUCGCACUUUGUUCCAUGAUUGUUGGCAUCCAUCAAGACCAUUUUUUCACUCUUGACCUGUGAUCAGGUAGGGAUACCCGCUGAACUUAA
rnacentral:misc_RNA from 1 species